UUCCCCUCUUUGGAGGAGUCGAUGCCAGCUGGCUCCAGGACAGGCUUCCUGCAACUGCCCAAGGCCGAGCCAAUCAGGAGUGAUAGUAACCCCUCUGUGAUAACAUAUUUAAGAUCAGAAAGGAUGCAAAAUGGGAAGAUUUUUCAAAAAAUCCUGAGCAGAUGAAAUACCAUAGGCUGAAUUGGAAGUCUGAAUACCUAAGGUGUUUUCAAAAUGGAACAGCUGAAGAACUGCUGAAGGGUUGUGUUGGAUUUCCAGCUACUUUACGCUGAAACCAUUGCAGAGAGCACAGCCACAAGAGACUCUCCGUUAAGUUGUCAUCUUUCAAGAUUUCAGCCAAUUCAUGUUAUGUUUUUUUUAAGAGCAGUGAAAUCAAAAGAGGUAGAUACUCACAAGAAACUUUAUAGGGACGUGAUGAUCUCAGGUCUGCUUAUCAAGCUGCACUGUAAACUGGAAAUGGGGAAGGGCAGCUAUCACAAGUUGGGGGAAGAGAAAGGAGAUUUACUUACAACAGUCACACAACAUCACAGUGAAGAUUUCCACUUUUGGUACCCCAUUCAUGAUUUUCUUUUUGUUCCAGUCAGAUAUCUUUGGCAACUUGCUCAGUCUUUUUUUCAGCAUAAGAUACACCUGAAUAAACAAAAAUUGGACAGAAGCAUAAAGGAUCUUGGAAGUGUUAUGUAUUUUGGCUAGGCUUUGGAAAUAGAUAUAGAGAUAUAACAGAUAUAAAGAACUACAGAAUUGACAUGACAGAACACCUGACAUAAGGAAUUUUAUACACUUGGGGAAGACCAUCUAAAUAAUGACCCCUCUUCUUAACCUGAUCUUCUAGGAUAGGCCAGGGAGGUUUUCACCAUAGAAGUGAGUGUUGGGUCCAUUCAAGCAAUUGCUGAGUUAAAAUUAACCACCUGUUCAAGUACAAAAGGAUUUCAACUGAAUUCUGCAACCAAAUUAAUCCUGAAGUCAUGGACGUUACCAGCUCCUAUUUACAGUACUGUUUGAGAACCUCCAUUUGCAACUUUCUGUCAAUUCUCUGCAACUCUCUUCAAUUUGGAGCAGACCCAGAUUUAAUCCUUGUUCCAAGAACAACGAGAAUUCUCCAGUUUGGCUGCAUCAGAAAGUGUGGCCAGCAGGUUGAGGGAGGUGAUCCUUCCUCUUUAGUUGGCCUUAGUGAGGCCACAUUACUAGUACUGUGUCCAGUUCUGGGCUUCUCAAUACAAGAAAGACAAGGAGCUACUGGAGAGGGUACAGGGGAGGGUCAGAAUGAUGAUUAGGGAUCUGUAGCAUCUCUCUUAUGAGUAGAGACUAUGAGAGCUGGACCUGCUUAGUCUAGAGAAGAGAAGACUAACAGGGAAUCUCAUCAAUACAUAUAAAUAAUAUCUCAGAGGUGGGUGCCAGGGCAAUGGUGUCAGACUCUUUUUGGUGGUGCCCCCCACCAGGAGGAGGAGCACUGUGGAGGAUGAGGAAGAUGACUGGAAAUGGUUUCAGAGAUGAUGCGAACUCUAUGGGAAUCAUUAGGGAGGACACUAAAGAAUACCAGCAGCAUUUAGUAUGCGUAACAGAAAAGAACUUGGUUACUAUAGUACAUAAGAAUUGUUAAUGCAUGUUUUUCUAAUUAUGUACCCCAGUUUUACUUGUAGUUGGACAUGUCCAGAUUUGUUUGCUCCCUUGUUGCUGUACCCUCAUUCUGAUUGGUAGGAUUCAGCUGCAGUGUGGAGUCCUGCACAAUUGGUCCUUGUUCCUGAAGUGUUCCCUCCUGUUUUCCCUGAUUUGUUCAACUUCC